GAAGAACCUUACCUGGUCUUGACAUCCACAGAACUUUCCAGAGAUGGAUUGGUGCCUUCGGGAACUGUGAGACAGGUGCUGCAUGGCUGUCGUCAGCUCGUGUUGUGAAAUGUUGGGUUAAGUCCCGCAACGAGCGCAACCCUUAUCCUUUGUUGCCAGCGGUCCGGCCGGGAACUCAAAGGAGACUGCCAGUGAUAAACUGGAGGAAGGUGGGGAUGACGUCAAGUCAUCAUGGCCCUUACGACCAGGGCUACACACGUGCUACAAUGGCGCAUACAAAGAGAAGCGACCUCGCGAGAGCAAGCGGACCUCAUAAAGUGCGUCGUAGUCCGGAUUGGAGUCUGCAACUCGACUCCAUGAAGUCGGAAUCGCUAGUAAUCGUGGAUCAGAAUGCCACGGUGAAUACGUUCCCGGGCCUUGUACACACCGCCCGUCACACCAUGGGAGUGGGUUGCAAAAGAAGUAGGUAGCUUAACCUUCGGGAGGGCGCUUACCACUUUGUGAUUCAUGACUGGGGUGAAGUCGUAACAAGGUAACCGUAGGGGAACCUGCGGUUGGAUCAC
rnacentral:rRNA from 1 species